rnacentral:rRNA from 1 species
GAUGAACGCUGGCGGCGUGCCUAAUACAUGCAAGUCGAGCGAACGGACGAGAAGCUUGCUUCUCUGAUGUUAGCGGCGGACGGGUGAGUAACACGUGGAUAACCUACCUAUAAGACUGGGAUAACUUCGGGAAACCGGAGCUAAUACCGGAUAAUAUUUUGAACCGAAUGGUUCAAAAGUGAAAGACGGUCUUGCUGUCACUUAUAGAUGGAUCCGCGCUGCAUUAGCUAGUUGGUAAGGUAACGGCUUACCAAGGCAACGAUGCAUAGCCGACCUGAGAGGGUGAUCGGCUACACUGGAACUGAGACACGGUCCAGACUCCUACGGGAGGCAGCAGUAGGGAAUCUUACGCAAUGGGCGAAAGCCUGACGGAGCAACGCCGCGUGAGUGAUGAAGGUCUGCGGAUCGUAGAACUCUGUUAUUAGGGAAGAACAUAUGUGUAAGUAACUGUGCACAUCUUGACGGUACCUAAUCAGAAAGCCACGGCUAACUACGUG